CCUACGGGAGGCAGCAGUCGGGAAUCUUCGGCAAUGGGCGAAAGCCUGACCGAGCAACGCCGCGUGGGCGAGGAAGGCCUUCGGGUUGUAAAGCCCUGUCCCAGGGGACGAAGAAAGUGACGGUACCCUGGGAGAAUCCCGGCUAACUA
rnacentral:rRNA from 1 species